UUGAAGCUUUGACUUAGUGGCGGACGGGUGAGUAACGCGUGAGGAACCUGCCUUUCAGAGGGGGACAACAGUUGGAAACGACUGCUAAUACCGCAUGACACAGCGAGAUCGCAUGGUCUUGCUGUCAAAGAUUUAUCGCUGAAAGAUGGCCUCGCGUCUGAUUAGAUAGUUGGUGAGGUAACGGCCCACCAAGUCAACGAUCAGUAGCCGGACUGAGAGGUUGAACGGCCACAUUGGGACUGAGAUACGGCCCAGACUCC
rnacentral:rRNA from 1 species